GUUGUGCAUCGUGUUUGUGGCACCCUCCAUGGAUCAUCUCUUAUGAGCUACGUCUUCCUUGUGUAAAUUGUUAAACUUGAUGUGUCUCUCUCUUUGUCUCCAAUGUGAAUUUAUCUCAGGACUUCCCAGGUUGAUAUUGAUAGUUUUCCUGCAGGGGUUGGUCCAACAAAAUAUCCAAUAUCUACUAUAGCAUACUAUCGGCUCAGAAAUCAACCUAGACACCAUGUAUAAUUUGAUUUAGGAGGGCAUUUUAACCUAAGCACCAUGCUUAAUUUAAAAUCCCUUGGAAGUA
rnacentral:lncRNA from 1 species